AGAGCGAACGCUGGCGGCAGGCCUAACACAUGCAAGUCGAGCGCCCCGCAAGGGGAGCGGCAGACGGGAGAGUAACACGUGGGAACGUACCCUUCAGUUCGGAACAACCCAGGGAAACUUGGGCUAAUACCGAAUACGUCCGUAAGGAGAAAGAUUUAUCGCUGAAGGAUCGGCCCGCGUCUGAUUAGCUAGUUGGUGAGGUAACGGCUCACCAAGGCUACGAUCAGUAGCUGGUCUGAGAGGAUGAUCAGCCUCACUGGGACUGAGACACGGCCCAGACUCCUACGGGAGGCAGCAGUGGGGAAUAUUGGACAAUGGGCGCAAGCCUGAUCCAGCCAUGCCGCGUGGAUGAUGAAGGCCUUAGGGUUGUAAAGUCCUUUCGACGGGGAAGAUAAUGACGGUACCGUAGAAGAGCCCGGCUAACUUCGUGCCAGCAGCCGC
rnacentral:rRNA from 1 species